rnacentral:tRNA from 2 species
GCGCCUGUAGCUCAAGUGGAUAGAGCACAGGCCUCCGGAGCCUGGUGUGGCAGUUCGACUCUGCCCAGGCGCA